rnacentral:rRNA from 1 species
UAACGUAGCGGCGUGCUUACACAUGCAGUCGAACGAGGUCCAUCCGAUCUUCGGAUUGGUGAAGACCUAGUGGCGAACGGGUGCGUAACACGUGAGAAACCUGCCCCGGUCUCUGGGAUAACAGUUGGAAACGACUGCUAAUACCGGAUGCCGUCGGACCGUCGCAUGGCGGACCGACGAAAGGGUUACCGGAUCGGGAGGGUCUCGCGGCCUAUCAGCUUGUUGGUGAGGUAACGGCUCACCAAGGCAUCGACGGGUAGCUGGUCUGAGAGGAUGAUCAGCCACACUGGCACUGAGACACGGGCCAGACUCCUACGGGAGGCAGCAGUGAGGAAUAUUGCACAAUGGAGGAAACUCUGAUGCAGCAACGCCGCGUGGAGGAUGACGCAUUUCGGUGUGUAAACUCCUUUUAUAUAGGAAGAUAAUGACGGUACUAUAUGAAUAAGCACCGGCUAACUUCGUGCCAGCAGCCGCGGUAAUACGAAGGGACCUAGCGUAGUUCGGAAUUACUGGGCUUAAAGAGUUCGUAGGUGGUUGAAAAAGUUAGUGGUGAAAUCCCAGAG